rnacentral:rRNA from 1 species
GGUUAAGUGAAUAAGGGCGCACGGUGGAUGCCUUGGCACUAGAAGCCGAUGAAGGACGGGACUAACUCCGAUAUGCUUUGGGGAGCUGUAAGUAAGCUAUGAUCCAGAGAUUUCCGAAUGGGGGAACCCAGCAUCUUUAAUAGGAUGUUACUAUUAAGUGAAUACAUAGCUUAAUAGAGGUAGACGCAGAGAACUGAAACAUCUAAGUACCUGCAGGAAGAGAAAGAAAAAUCGAUUUCCUUAGUAGCGGCGAGCGAAACGGAACCAGCCCAAACCAACAAGCUUGCUUGUUGGGGUUGUAGGACUCAGCUGUGGUAGCUGUUGUGGAUAGUCGAAUCGACCUGGAAAGGUCAGCCGUAGCGGGUAAAAGCCCCGUAGACGAAAUUGACAACACACCUAUGAGUAUCCUGAGUACGGCGGAACACGCGAAAUUCCGUCGGAAUCCGGGAGGACCAUCUCCCAAGGCUAAAUACUCUCUAGUGACCGAUAGUGAACCAGUACCGUGAGGGAAAGGUGAAAAGCACCCCGGAAGGGGAGUGAAAUAGAACCUGAAACCGUGUGCCUACAAGAAGUCAGAGCCCGUUAAUGGGUGAUGGCGUGCCUUUUGCAGAAUGAACCGGCGAGUUACGAUUGCAUGCGAGGUUAAGCUGAAGAAGCGGAGCCGUAGCGAAAGCGAGUCUGAAUAGGGCGAGUGAGUAUGUAGUCGUAGACCCGAAACCAUGUGACCUACCCAUGUCCAGGUUGAAGGUGCGGUAAAACGCACUGGAGGACCGAACCCACGUACGUUGAAAAGUGCGGGGAUGAGGUGUGGGUAGCGGAGAAAUUCCAAACGAACUUGGAGAUAGCUGGUUCUCUCCGAAAUAGCUUUAGGGCUAGCCUCGGAAUUAAGAAUGAUGGAGGUAGAGCACUGUUUGGACUAGGGGCCCGUCUUGGGUUACCGAAUUCAGAUAAACUCCGAAUGCCAUUCAUUUAUGUCCGGGAGUCAGACAGUGAGUGAUAAGAUCCAUUGUCGAAAGGGAAACAGCCCAGACCACCAGCUAAGGUCCCCAAAUAUAUGUUAAGUGGAAAAGGAUGUGAGGGUGCACAAACAACUAGGAUGUUGGCUUAGAAGCAGCCAUCAUUUAAAGAGUGCGUAAUAGCUCACUAGUCGAGUGCCCUUGCGCCGAAAAUGUACCGGGGCUAAACAUAUUACCGAAGCUGUGGAUAGAACCAUUAGGUUCUAUGGUAGGAGAGCGUUCUAAGGGCGUAGAAGCUAGAUCGUAAGGACUGGUGGAGCGCUUAGAAGUGAGAAUGCCGGUAUGAGUAGCGAAAGACAGGUGAGAAUCCUGUCCACCGAAUGACUAAGGUUUCCUGGGGAAGGCUCGUCCUCCCAGGGUUAGUCGGGACCUAAGCUGAGGCCGAUAGGCGUAGGCGAUGGAUAACAGGUUGAGAUUCCUGUACCCGUUUGUUUUGUUUGAACAAUGGAGGGACGCAGUAGGUUACAAGAUCGCACUGUUGGAUAUGUGCGUUCAAGCAACAAGUCUUGGUAAGAGUCAAAUGCUUUUACCUNNGACGGCCCGUACCGCAAACCGACACAGGUAGUCGAGGAGAGAAUCCUAAGGUGAGCGAGAGAACUCUCGUUAAGGAACUCGGCAAAAUGACCCCGUAACUUAGGGAGAAGGGGUGCUGAACGCAAGUUCAGCCGCAGUGAAUAGGCCCAAGCGACUGUUUAUCAAAAACACAGGUCUCUGCAAAAUCGAAAGAUGACGUAUAGGGGCUGACGCCUGCCCGGUGCUGGAAGGUUAAGAGGAUGGGUUAGCAAUAGCGAAGCUCAGAAUUGAAGCCCCAGUAAACGGCGGCCGUAACUAUAACGGUCCUAAGGUAGCGAAAUUCCUUGUCGGGUAAGUUCCGACCCGCACGAAAGGCGUAACGAUUUGGGCACUGUCUCAACGAGAGACUCGGUGAAAUUUUAGUACCUGUGAAGAUGCAGGUUACCCGCGACAGGACGGAAAGACCCCAUGGAGCUUUACUGUAGCUUGAUAUUGAAUGUUUGUAACACAUGUACAGGAUAGGUAGGAGCCGUAGAAUUCGGGACGCCAGUUUCGAAUGAGGCAAUGGUGGGAUACUACCCUUGUGUUAUGACCAUUCUAACCCGCACCACUUAUCGUGGUGGGAGACAGUGUCAGGUGGACAGUUUGACUGGGGCGGUCGCCUCCUAAAGAGUAACGGAGGCGCCCAAAGGUUCCCUCAGAAUGGUUGGAAAUCAUUCGUAGAGUGCAAAGGCAGAAGGGAGCUUGACUGCGAGAGCUACAACUCGAGCAGGGACGAAAGUCGGGCUUAGUGAUCCGGUGGUUCCGCAUGGAAGGGCCAUCGCUCAACGGAUAAAAGCUACCCUGGGGAUAACAGGCUUAUCUCCCCCAAGAGUUCACAUCGACGGGGAGGUUUGGCACCUCGAUGUCGGCUCGUCGCAUCCUGGGGCUGUAGUCGGUCCCAAGGGUUGGGCUGUUCGCCCAUUAAAGCGGCACGCGAGCUGGGUUCAGAACGUCGUGAGACAGUUCGGUCCCUAUCCGUCGCGGGCGUUGGAAAUUUGAGAGGAGCUGUCCUUAGUACGAGAGGACCGGGAUGGACACACCUCUGGUGUACCAGUUGUUCUGCCAAGGGCAUUGCUGGGUAGCUAUGUGUGGAAGGGAUAAACGCUGAAAGCAUCUAAGCGUGAAGCCCCCCUCAAGAUGAGAUUUCCCAUUUCUUUAAGAAAGUAAGACCCCUGAAAGAUGAUCAGGUAGAUAGGCUAGAAGUGGAAGUGCAGUGAUGUACGGAGCGGACUAGUACUAAUCGGUCGAGGACUUAACCAA